CAAGGUCCAGCUGGGCAUCCAUCCCUGUGCUAAAAGAGGAAGAUGCAGGGAGCAGCCGCCAGAAGCCACGUUCUGAACUCACUCGGUGGUCCUUUCCCAGGACCAGGGCCUGGCUUCUGACAACUGUAUUCCCAGCGCCCAAUAAAUGCAGGCUGUGUGAUGGAGACUGGAGAGAGGCCUGCUGAGGAAGAUUGUCUCUAAGGAAGGUGGGGUGGGACCACAAGGUGUGGAAACCACUCCAGAGCAGGAAAUUGGCAGCUUUGGCAUACUGUUCAAGCCUUACCUGGGAUUUGUACCGCUCCCCUGAGAUGCUCAGGGUAGGGCUUGAGUGACUAAUUCCAUGGUCCCAGAGCAGUGGUUCUCAACCUUCCUGAUGCUGGGACCCUUCAAUACAUUUCCUUGUUUUAUGUGGUCUAGGGUGACCCCCAUGAAAGGAUCAUUGAACCCCACAAUGGGAGCUGAAAUGACACACAGGUUGAAAACCAUAGUCCUAGAGUCAGGCACAGGAGGGACUCUGUAAAAAGGUGGGACCAGAUGUCCUGGAGCCAGCUGCCUUCUCCCUCCUGUUAUUUCAGCAUCUGCAUCUGCACAGGCUGCCAUCCCUCCCGCCACAAACUCUGAGUGUUAUUUCCUCCUUCUGGAAAGUUCCUUACCAUCAAGUUCAGACAUCAUUUUCCUAGGGAAA